UCCGAGUUGACCCAGAAUCGUCCCCCUUUCGGGUUCCUACUACCAACAUGUCAAGCCCUGGUAAGGUUCUUCGCUUAGCAUCGAAUUAAACCACACGCUCCACCGCUUGUGCGGGCCCCCGUCAAUUCCUUUGAGUUUUAGCCUUGCGGCCGUACUCCCCAGGCGGGGCGCUUAAUGCGUUAGCUACGGCACGGAUCCCGUGGAAGGAAACCCACACCUAGCGCCCACCGUUUACGGCGUGGACUAC
rnacentral:misc_RNA from 1 species